rfam:Gossypium arboreum cultivar AKA8401 contig_6408_7, whole genome shotgun sequence.
AAUCUAUGCUACGGGUAUUUUUGAAUAAACAUUUUGAAGCGUUCCCUCACCUCAUAGAAGCUUUCUCCUUCCAUCUGUCUAAAGACAACAAUUUCUCUUCUUAAUU